rnacentral:rRNA from 1 species
GAUGAACGCUGGCGGCGUGCCUAAUACAUGCAAGUCGAGCGAACGGACGAGAAGCUUGCUUCUCUGAUGUUAGCGGCGGACGGGUGAGUAACACGUGGAUAACCUACCUAUAAGACUGGGAUAACUUCGGGAAACCGGAGCUAAUACCGGAUAAUAUUUUGAACCGCAUGGCUCAAAAGUGAAAGACGGUCUUGCUGUCACUUAUAGAUGGAUCCGCGCUGCAUUAGCUAGUUGGUAAGGUAACGGCUUACCAAGGCAACGAUGCAUAGCCGACCUGAGAGGGGGAUCGGCCACACUGGAACUGAGACACGGUCCAGACUCCUACGAGAGGCAGCAGUAGGGAAUCGUCCGCAAUGGGCGAAAGCCUGACGGAGCAACGCCGCGUGAGUGAUGAAGGUCUUCGGAUCGUAAAACUCUGUUAUUAGGGAAGAACAUAUGUGUAAGUAACUGUGCACAUCUUGACGGUACCUAAUCAGAAAGCCACGGCUAACUACGUG